rnacentral:lncRNA from 1 species
GGUUAAAUCAUACUAGAGAUCACAUGAAGACAUUCUAAAAUCACACUAUAAAAAUUGCUGAUAUAGGAGGAAAGGCUUACAAGAAUGUCUUUCAAACCCUUUUAUCCAACAAGUUAUUCAUCUUUUACUUUUCUUUCUUCCAACCUUAUCCUCUAUGAUACUAUUUUACUUUCUAAAUGAAUACAGUUUUGCCAUUUCGAUAGGACAAACAAUUUGACCUCUAAAAGAAACUUUGAAAUCCAAAAGUCUAUAAAGAAUUAAGGCCUGAAUUUAAGACUUAAGGCCAAUUCUUUAGACACAAUUCUCUACUUCUAAAAAUGCUAAGGUUGUAAUUUGGAAAAAACAGCAGAAUAAAGACUGCUAUGGGACCUCAAAUUUUAAAAAUUGUUUAACUGUGGUAUUCUAAAUUAUCAUACAAUCAGAUUAAGUUGGUGGAACUAAAACAGGGCGCAUUACCUCAAACAGCCAGCAUUUACAAGAACCAAAUUGAUUUUUUUUUCUUACAAAAGUCAGGCAACUUCCAAAUUAAGUCACUUUUUACCAUAUACCCUGGAGAAUAACAUGGCCCGACACACCACACGUCCCACUUAUCUAGUUCAAGCGAGUAACAUAACGUGAGAAACUGCACUGUGUAAUUCCUUUAUUUUCUGCAUAUUAGUGCUUUACCAACACUACAACCAUAAAGAACACAAUUCCAAGUACUGUACUUUUUAGUUUGGGGAGAUCACAGUCUACAGACUCAUUUACUUAUAUUAAACAAGAUUAACCUCAUUCAAAACUUACUGCAGUUUAUAAAUUCACAUAAAUACAGAAAUGGAUGCAAUUAAACAACUUCAGGAUCUUAUUUUUAAAAUUCUUAGAUAAUUUUUUCUGCAGGCUAUAAUUACCUGCUCCAGUCACCAAUGGUUAUUGUUCAAUUUAACUACAUCAAUUAUAAACCUCUUAUAUCCUUAAAGAAAAUUUUAAGUGAAAAUUACAAUUUCUUACCAAAAGGUUUAGGGUUUUCCAAAUUUCAAAUAUUUGCUUCCCCCUCCCCCCUUUCCAGUCAAACAUUUCAAAUAAACUAAAAAUAACCACAUCUCACCUGCAACAUUCAAUAAUAGCAAUCACUUGAUGUAUAAAAUUUUAACUAUGCCCCCAGUUAUUUUAAGACACAAAAAAAUGGCUGCCUACCAAUCUGUCUUCACAAGUUAGAAAUACUACAUUUAAGAUUUAACAUGAGGGUUUCAAGUUUCCUCCAGUUUAGGCAUUUAUACCUUUGUGCUUGUUUUGUUUCAGGAUGUUACUAUAGCAUUGAUAUUGGAUAACCCAUAUUUAUAUACUUUAAAAUGCAAUCAUUUGAAAUUACUAAGUUAGAACUCAUAAGGAAGGGGGGGGAAGGCCUUAAAUAUAAAAGACAAACGGCAGUUUGAUUAAGCAAUAAUUUUCAGUUUACUAGAUGAAACAGACUUGCAACAUAGUCUGCAUGAAUGCAAAAUAAG